ensembl:lncRNA
ACAGAGAGAGAAGAGUCUUCACUGUGAUCAUCAGUAACCUGACACUACAGGACACUGAUACAUACUGGUGUUUCAUAGACGGGUGGGGUUUUCAUCCCCUAACUGAAGUAAAGAUCACUGUGGACAGAGCUCCUCCUCCUUCUCUCUCAGCUCCUCCUCCUACUCCUAAAUCUUUCUCCUUCACCUCCAGACCUCUCCCCUCUGUGACACAUCCAUCAGCAAUCAUCACCAUGGUAACUGGUUCUGACCCCACUACAGGAGGGCGCACCAAUGGAAUUAUGGGAGUAAGAGCAGCACCUCGACCCACAGACACGUCUGGAAACCAAG